rnacentral:rRNA from 1 species
GAUGAACGCUGGCGGCAUGCCUAACACAUGCAAGUCGAGCGGUGGAGGGGAGCUUGCUCCUGGAUUCAGUGGCGAACGGGUGAGUAAUGCGUAGGAAUCUGCCCGGUAGUGGGGGAUAACGUCCGGAAACGGGCGCUAAUAACGCAUAAGUACUGAGGGAGAAAGGGGGGGAUCUUGGGAGCUCAAGCGAUUUGAGGAGCUUAGGUCGGAUUAGUUGGUUGUGGGGGUAAAGGCCUACCAAGGGGCCGAACGGGAACGGGUCGUAGAGGGGGAUAAGUCACCCUGGAGGGGGGACACGGUCAAGACUCCUACGGGAGGCAGCAGAGGGGAAUAUUGGACAGCGGGGGAAAGCCUGAUCCAGUCAUGCCGCGCGUGUGAAGAAGGUCUUCGGUUUGUAAAGCCGGUUAUGUUGGGAGAAAGGGCAGUAAGUUGAUACCUUGCUGUUUUGACGUUACCAACAGAAUAAGCACCGGCUAACUACGUG